AUUGAACGCUGGCGGCAUGCCUUACACAUGCAAGUCGAACGGUAACAGGUCUUUCGGGAUGCUGACGAGUGGCGAACGGGUGAGUAAUACAUCGGAACGUGCCUAGUAGUGGGGGAUAACUACUCGAAAGAGUGGCUAAUACCGCAUGAGAUCUAUGGAUGAAAGCAGGGGACCUUCGGGCCUUGUGCUACUAGAGCGGCCGAUGGCAGAUUAGGUAGUUGGUGGGAUAAAAGCUUACCAAGCCUGCGAUCUGUAGCUGGUCUGAGAGGACGAUCAGCCACACUGGGACUGAGACACGGCCCAGACUCCUACGGGAGGCAGCAGUGGGGAAUUUUGGACAAUGGGGGAAACCCUGAUCCAGCAAUGCCGCGUGCAGGAUGAAGGCCUUCGGGUUGUAAACUGCUUUUGUACGGAACGAAAAGUCUUGGGCUAAUA
rnacentral:rRNA from 1 species